rnacentral:rRNA from 1 species
UAGUGACAAGAAAUAACAAUACAGGACUUUAACAGUUUUGUAAUUGGAAUGAGUUGAGUAUAAACCCCUUUACAAGUAUCAAUUGGAGGGCAAGUCUGGUGCCAGCAGCCGCGGUAAUUCCAGCUCCAAUAGCGUAUAUUAAAGUUGUUGCAGUUAAAAAGCUCGUAGUUGGAUUUCUGUUAAUAAUUUAUAUAUAAUAUUUAACAUAUUUAUAUAAUAUUAACAUAAUUCAUAUUACUAUUUAUAGUAUAUGAAACUUUACUUUGAGAAAAUUAGAGUGCUUAAAGCAGG